rnacentral:piRNA from 1 species
UGCAAAUUAAAACCAUAAUGAGGUAAUACUU